AGUGAACGCUGGCGGUAGGCCUAACACAUGCAAGUCGAACGGCAGCACAGUAAGAGCUUGCUCUUACGGGUGGCGAGUGGCGGACGGGUGAGGAAUACAUCGGAAUCUACUUUUUCGUGGGGGAUAACGUAGGGAAACUUACGCUAAUACCGCAUACGACCUACGGGUGAAAGCAGGGGAUCUUCGGACCUUGCGCGAUUGAAUGAGCCGAUGUCGGAUUAGCUAAUUGGCGGGGUAAAGGCCCACCAAGGCGACGAUCCGUAGCUGGUCUGAGAGGAUGAUCAGCCACACUGGAACUGAGACACGGUCCAGACUCCUACGGGUGGCAGCAGUGGGGAAUAUUGGACAAUGGGCGCAAGCCUGAUCCAGCCAUACCGCGUGGGUGAAGAAGGCCUUCGGGUUGUAAAGCCCUUUUGUUGGGAAAGAAAAGCAGCAGGUUAAUACCCCGCUGUUCUGACGGUACCCAAAGAAUAAGCACCGGCUAACUUCGUG
rnacentral:rRNA from 1 species